rnacentral:rRNA from 1 species
UACGUAGGGUGCAAGCGUUGUCCGGAAUUAUUGGGCGUAAAGAGCUCGUAGGUGGCCUGUCGCGUCGGCUGUGAAAACUCGGGGCUCAACUCCGAGCUUGCAGUCGAUACGGGCAGGCUAGAGUUCGGCGGGGAGACUGGAAUUCCUGGUGUAGCGGUGAAAUGCGCAGAUAUCAGGAGGAACACCGGUGGCGAAGGCAGGGUCUCUGGGCCAUUACUGACGCUGAGGAGCGAAAGCAUGGGGAGCGAACAGG